AUGCUAGAGCACUUUUUCAAUGUGCUCCACAAAGACAAGGCGACGACACAUUCGUAUGUCAAUCCAUAUCAACGUUCGAUGCCAUUUACUGUGCCUACCAUGGUAACCACGGGUAAUGGGGAAUCAGGGUUCGAUUCUGUACAGUGACCCUGACAAACAGCUACCACAUGCAAGGAAGGCA
rnacentral:rRNA from 1 species